rnacentral:rRNA from 1 species
GACAGAGGGUGCAAACGUUGUUCGGAAUUACUGGGCGUAAAGCGCGUGUAGGCGGCCCUGCAAGUCGGGUGUGAAAUCCCACGGCUCAACCGUGGAAGUGCACUCGAAACUGCAAGGCUAGAGUCCUGGAGAGGAAGGUGGAAUGCUUGGUGUAGAGGUGAAAUUCGUAGAUAUCAAGCGGAACACCGGUGGCGAAGGCGGCCUUCUGGACAGUGACUGACGCUGAGACGGCG